rnacentral:rRNA from 1 species
AACGAACGCUGGCGGCAGGCUUAACACAUGCAAGUCGAACGAUGAUGCUGGAGCUUGCUCCAGUUGAUUAGUGGCGAACGGGUGAGUAACACACGAGCAAUCUGCCCUUGACUCUGGGAUAACUGCGGGAAACUGUAGCUAAUACCGGAUACUUUCACCGGAAGGCAUCUUCUGGUGAUGAAAGAAUUUCGGUCAGGGAUGAGCUCGCGGCCUAUCAGCUUGUUGGUGAGGUAACGGCUCACCAAGGCGACGACGGGUAACCGGCCUGAGAGGGUGACCGGUCACACUGGGACUGAGACACGGCCCAGACUCCUACGGGAGGCAGCAGUGGGGAAUAUUGCACAAUGGGCGCAAGCCUGAUGCAGCAACGCCGCGUGAGGGAUGAAGGCCUUCGGGUUGUAAACCUCUUUUAGCAGGGAAGAAGCGAAAGUGACGGUACCCGCAGAAAAAGCACCGGCUAACUACGUGCCAGCCGCCGCGGUAA